rnacentral:tRNA from 1 species
UAGCUCAGUGGUAGAGCAUAUGCUUAGCACGCACAAGGCCUUGGGUUCAAUCCCCAG